rnacentral:rRNA from 1 species
CUACGGGAGGCUGCAGUGAGGAAUAUUGCACAAUGGGGGGAACCCUGAUGCAGCAACGCCGCGUGGAGGAUGACGCAUUUCGGUGUGUAAACUCCUUUUAUAUGUCAAGAAAAUGACGGUAGCAUAUGAAUAAGCACCGGCUAACUCCGUGCCAGCAGCCGCGGUAAUACGGAGGGUGCAAGCGUUACUCGGAAUCACUGGGCGUAAAGGACGCGUAGGCGGGUUGGAAAGUCAGGUGUGAAAUCCUACAGCUUAACUGUAGAACUGCACUUGAAACUUCUAAUCCAGAGUAUGGGAGGGGGAGAUGGAAUUAGUGGUGUAGGGGUAAAAUCCGUAGAUAUCACUAGGAAUACCUAAAGCGAAGGCGAUCUCCUGGAACAUAACUGACGCUAAGGCGUGAAAGCGUGGGGAGCAAACAGGAUUAGAUACCCGCGUAGUC